UGCGGCUUCAUUGUUGAUGGCUUGAUGAUAAUUCUAACGAAAGCGAAGGGCAGUGACUACUGCUCUUGUUAUUUCUGACUGUCGUGUCGAAUGCAUACUCUCAUAUUACCUCCAGUGUCAUUGUUAUAAAUAUACACAUACCGUCAUUGUACCAAGAGUCUGAAGGGGGUUCAGAUGACUUUAAUGAUGAAGCUACAUCAAUGCUUUUGGACAGUGAAGACGGCAAUAUAUUUGAUAUUUAAAUCAAUACAAUUUAACAUUGAUUUUCCUAUACAAAAGCAAUAACAAUCCCAAAUCACUGAUGCUUAAAGUGCAGGGGCAACAUGUCCCAGGGAAGGAUAGAAGAGAAUAAUAAAAAUGCAUCUUCUUACUAUUGCACAUUAUCCUGUCAUUAUCAUUAUUCUUUGUUCACAAUGAUUGGCACGUGUACCAUGAUGAACAGUGCGGAGUACUUAGGGUUUUAGUUGACAGUGCUUUAGUUUGAAAGGCUCAACACCACUCAGUCUUUCAGAACCAGGGGUGCUUUGACAGUAGCAGCAACCUCAGCCCCCAUGAGCUCCUCUACAAUGGCCAAGGUGGCGAGGCACAGCAGUGAUGACAACAUAGGCCUUGUUGAUCUUUGCACCAGACAGGAUGCUCUUGCCAGCAUACUUGGGGUCCAACAUGUACACUGUGGCGUGUAUGGGCUUCAGGCAGAAGUCUUCAUGCUUCUUGAUGCAUUUCAGAACGGCAGUUUCCUCUGCUUGGAGCAACAGUGAAGUGGGCCGGGCAGUACGGAGUCUGAACAUCAGACAGGAUGGCAUUGUCUCCCUCAAUCCAUGCAAUGGCUACUGUUAUAGGUUUCAGGAGUUUCAGGCUUACCACUCUCUCCCAAAAUACAUCUUCCAGGAGGAUCCUCUUGAUGGGGCUGUCCAUAAUCGGCAAACUGUGAUAUGGCCAUUUCUUGGAGAGACUCCUUCCCCUGCAGUAGUCAAACAUGACGACAUCACCACCCCAACGGGUGUUGCUGGGCAGCUUCAAUGUGGUGCUCUUAUUCUUCUCACUUUGCUUGGUGAGGUAGAUUGUUGCUAUAACUUAAUGACCCUUGACAUACCUAAACGUUUCCUUGGCUCUCUUGUAGAGUGUAUCCAUUGUUUUCAGUGCCAUGUCCUUGAGGAGCAGAUUCAAUGCAUGAGCAGCACAGCCAAUGGGUGUGAUGUGAGGGUAGGCCUUCUCCACUUUAGACCAAGCAGCCUUCAUGUUCGCAGCAUUGUCUGUCACCAGUGCAAAUACCUUCUGUGGUCCAUGGUCAUUGAUGACUGCCUUCAGCUCAUCUGCAAUGUAGAGACCGGUGUGUCUGUUGUCCCUUGUGUCUGUGCUCUUGUAGAAUACUGGUUGAGGGGUGGAGAUGAUGUAGUUAAUUAUUCCUUGCCCAUGAACAUUCGACCACCCAUCAGAGAUGAUUGCAAUACAGUCUGCUUUCUCUGUGAUUUGCUUGACCUUCACUUGAACUCUGUUGAACUCUGCAUCCAGUUAAUGAGUAGAAAAAGCAUGUCUGGUUGGAGGGGUGUAUGCUGGGUGAAGAACAUUCAGAAAUCUCUUCCAAUACACAUUGCCUGUGAGCAUCAGAGGUGAACCAGUUGUAUACACAGCUCGAGCAAGACAUUUAUCAGCAUUUCUCACUACGUUCCACCAUUGAGUAAAAAAAACUUCUGAUUCAAGGAGGACCAUGAGCUGUUGCUAUCGAUGAGGUGUCUGAUUCAUCAUUUUCACCUCGAAUAGAAGUAGAGGGACUUUUGUCAGAGGUUGCUUGUUGUGAGCGCUGAGGGAACUUUAUGCACUUGGCCAGAUGAUUCUGCAUCUUUGUUGCAUUCUUCACAUAUGAUUUGGCACAGUAUUUGCAAAAUGUACACAGAUUUUCCUUCUACAUUGGCUGCAGUGAAAUGUCUCCACACAUCAGAUAGUGCCCGUGGCAUUUUCCUGUAAAGAUCAGGAUUUAAAUUUUUUUUUAAACAAAUACAAUUCCAUGUCCAUAUAAAUAGUUAAGCAGUUAUUUAAACAACUCCUUCGUAAGAAAAAUGUUUUAAAAUGAAACAGGUGAAUUGCAAGCUAUGACCCACAUGGUAGCAGAAACUAACUAGCAGGAAUUGUUAACAAGUUAGAAAGGAUUUAAAACACUUCGCUGUAGUUUACUAUUUACUAGUUAACAAAAAAAUAAUGUAUGUCAUAAAAUAUUUUCACCCCACCCAGUAUUGUAAUCAAAACUUACCAAAAAGUAUGUAGUCCUUGGCUCAGACAGUGUAGUUGUGUGCACUGCACGUGUGACCGAAGAGUGCACUGCACGUGUGACCGAAGAGUGCACUGCACAUGCAGAGGAUUGCAAUUCCAUCGAAUUGGGGAUAGUUUAACCAAAAUAUGCCACAAGACCUAGAAUUGCCUUUUUGGUGGGAGGUUCACUGUUAUAAGCUAACUUUUUUUAAUGAAUUGAAGCAAAAUUCCCCAAAUUCCUAGGCUUAACUUCCCAUGGAAAAUUUCCAGAAAUUUCCCAGAAAGUUUCUGACCCUGUGCAACCCUAACCUAAACCUUAGCCCUGUGGCAGCCAGGCUGUUUGUGUAGCUUUACCACCAGUCAUCAUCUUGUCCUUGGCACCAGGGUGGGUGGUGACUGUGCUGCCGUAGGCAAUACCGUGUGCUGGGCACCGAGAGCUCCCCCUGGCAGAAAAACCACAUCAUACGGACCCUGC
rnacentral:lncRNA from 1 species